UGGCGAUGAUUAAACAUUUAUUCGCGCUUCUGAGAGUAAUCUAUGAAGCAGAAGAAUAAAUAAAUGGUUGAAUUUCUUAAUAUGAGCCA